CAGCACCUCAAGUGGUCAGGAGGAUUAUUGGGCCUAAAGCAUCCGUAGCCUGCUCUGUAAGUUUCCGGGUUAAAUCCAUUAGCUCAACUGAUGGGCCGCCGGAAAAACUGCAAAGCUAGGGAGUGGGAGAGGUAGACGGUACUCGGUAGGAAGGGGUAAAAUCCUUUGAUCUAUUGAUGACCACCUGUGGCGAAGGCGGUCUACCAGAACACGUUCGACGGUGAGGGAUGAAAGCUGGGGGAGCAAACCGGAUUAGAUACCCGGGUAGUCCCAGCUGUAAACGAUGCAGACUCGGUGAUGCCCUGGCUUGUGGCCAGUGCAGUGCCGCAGGGAAGCCGUUAAGUUUGCCGCCUGGGAAGUACGUACGCAAGUAUA
rnacentral:rRNA from 1 species